rnacentral:lncRNA from 1 species
AUGUGAAAACAGAUUUUCCCAAAAAUCUGGAAAAUCAGUUACACAACUGAUUUUAGUUAACAGAAAAGGCUAUUAAAGAGAAGAAGGGUCGACGAUCAAACUUCACUUUAAUUUCUUAGUUGUGAGUACUUUUCUUUUGAUCUCCUUUCUUUCAUUCUCGCGUCCGAGCCUUCUGAUUACUCAGGCGUUGUUGUUCUGUUUGCAGGUAUCAUCUUCAGUCGGAAGGUGAAAUCCAAAUUUAUAUUUUUCUGUCUUCAAAUUCAAUUUCUUAGUUUUCUGUUGUUCCUUCCUCAAUGUGAUGUACUCUAUUAAAUCUUCGUUUGAAAUUUCAAUGUGUAUUUCCUUUGAUUGGUUAGUCGAUCAAUUUCAAUUCUUAAACUCAAUUUUAUUUCAAUUCUAUCAAGCUUUUUCAGGCGGCCAGGCGACCAGGCGAUGCCUGGGGUCGCAUACCGCAUAUGCGACUGUCUGGUCGCACAUGCUACCCAAUAUG